CCUACGGGCGGCAGCAGUGGGGAAUAUUGCACAAUGGGGGAAACCCUGAUGCAGCGACGCCGCGUGAGUGAAGAAGUAUUUCGGUAUGUAAAGCUCUAUCAGCAGGGAAGAAAAUGACGGUACCUGACUAAGAAGCCCCGGCUAACUACGUGCCAGCAGCCGCGGUAAUACGUAGGGGGCAAGCGUUAUCCGGAUUUACUGGGUGUAAAGGGAGCGUAGACGGCAGCACAAGUCUGGAGUGAAAUGCCGGGGCUUAACCCCGGAACUGCUUUGGAAACUGUGCAGCUAGAGUGCAGGAGAGGUAAGUGGAAUUCCUAGUGUAGCGGUGAAAUGCGUAGAUAGUAGGAGGAACACCAGUGGCGAAGGCGGCUUACUGGACUGUAACUGACGUUGAGGCUCGAAAGCGUGGGGAGCAAACAGGAUUAGAUACCCCAGUAGUC
rnacentral:rRNA from 1 species